UAACAGAGGGAAACUCUGAUAAUACUGGAUAAGUUAGUAUAUCGCAUGAUAUGCAAAUGAAAGCUACGGCACUAAAGGAGAGCUUUGCGUCCUAUUAGCUAGUUGGUAAGGUAAGAGCUUACCAAGGCGAUGAUAGGUAGCCGGCCUGAGAGGGUGGACGGCCACAAGGGGGACUGAGAUACGGCCCAAACUCCUACGGGAGGCAGCAGUC
rnacentral:rRNA from 1 species